GCACUCCCGGGGCGUCUCUUUCUCAUUGCGAGAGGAGGCGCACCCAGAGCGCACACGCUGAUACCCGAAAGAUGGUGAACUAUGCCUGGCCAGGACGAAGCCAGGGGAAACCCUGGUGGAGGUCCGCAGCGAUUCUGACGUGCAAAUCGAUCGUCGGAGCUGGGUUUAGGGGCGAAAGACCAAUCGAACCAUCUAGUAGCUGGUUCCCUCUGAAGUUUCCCUCAGGAUAGCUUGCGCUCGGAGGAACGAGUCUCAUCCGGUAGAGCGAAUGAUUAGAGGCCUUGGGGUCGAAACGACCUCAACCUAUUCUCAAACUCCAAAUAGAUGAGAACCCCGGCUUACUUGAAAAAUGAAGCCGGGGGCCUUGGAUCAGAGUGCCAAGUGGGCCAAUUUUGGUAAGCAGAACUGGCGCUGUGGGAUGAACCAAACGCUGAGUUAAGGCGCCUCAAUCGACGCUCAUCUGAAACCAUGAAAGGUGUUGGUUGCUUAAGACAGUAG
rnacentral:rRNA from 1 species